GCUUUCCCAGCAGCUCUGGCCCAGAAACUUGCACAGCUGUGUGCACUGUGGGUCACAGGAGAUCAGAGUCAUCCACUGGAAAACAAACCCAGAGCACACAGCACUCGAGAACUGCAUCAACGUAAACCAGGGUCAUGAGAAGGCCCCUCUGCAGGGCCCUAACACAGCCCCAGAGCUGGGCCACCGGCCCAGAGGUGGCUCAGCUCAGCCCACGUCUUGGCCCUCUGCUGGGGUCUGGGGUAAUUUCUGUAGUUCACUUCAUCCCCUUUUUGGGGGUGGAUGAGCAUUUCCUAUCAGAAUGGGGAAGAUCCAUUUUCCAGUUGACGGAAAGCUCCCGUGUCUGCAUUCAAGCAGAACUGUAAAGGCCGUAAGCAGGCUGUAAAGGAGCAGGUGUGGGAAUAUGGCAUGCAAGGGGCACGUUUCUUGUCUGUAGUUAGGUAGCAUAACAAAAAGAAAGGAGAGCACAAAGGAACACUGCAAAGUAUGAGUGGAAGAGCUGAGAUCCUCUACAGAGAUUACAGCCCAUUCCCUCCGUCUUUCCCUAACUCAUGGGAUUUUUAUAUCCCAGAGGACUCGCCGGAGAUGUCCGUAUGAUGCAGCAGUGGGUGAAGGAGCUGCAAAGCGGAGAUGCUCAGGGAAGGACCGUUUGCAGCACUUUGCAUAACGCGCAUCUGCCAGAAGAUGGCAGCAGACGCCCUGGGAUGGAGCUGGCAGCGGUGGCAGCUGCUCUGCGGGGCUCUAUUUUUCAUAUACUCUUACGAGCUGCAGAUUGCGCUGGUGGAAACGGAAUAACAGAGAAUACAUAAAAAUGUAUUCCACAAGUAAUAAGACCCCAAAUAAUUCACACACAAGGUCCAUCCAAACGUUUCUCACCGCUGGAAACUUUGGCUCUGGAGCACUAAGAGAGGUUUGUGUGUGGUGGAGAACCUGAAACCGUUCUUCUCUUUGUUAUAUAAAUCUGACAGGAUUAUUUCUAAGCUCUGUGCCGUAUCCCCGGUGCUGCGUGGCUGUGACCCUGCCUCGGGUGCAGUUUCAUGCUGUGUGAACAGGGAAUAAAUGUGAGUCGGGCACAAAGCCGUGGAUCAGCGCUCAGGGCUGUGCGCCUGCUGUGCUCUCAGCGCCUUCUGGCGGUGCUCAGCUCCGUGUCUGUUUGGAGCAGAGGUGGUGAUGCACAGGGCAUGGGAUGGGCAGCCCUUCUGUGUCAGUGUGCUUCUUCCCAUUCAGUUCUGUCACAACCCGGGGGCAGGAAGCAGCACUUUCAUUCAUCGUUUUUACAUGGCUAACUUACACGAAGUUGAAGGUUUUUUCCUUCUGUUUCCAGUAAGAAUUAUCUGCCUAAAACAAAAUUUCAAGGGGAAAACACUGCUAAAUGCCCCAUGUUGUGUGUUUUACAUUAACAGCUAGGGUUGAUUCAAAUACAGCUUCAUUCCUAUCACUGAAGGAAGUAAGAAAAGACCACCAGAAAAUAAAGGGGGACCAUAAUAA